AACUGUAAACAGUAGACUACUUUGAGGUUUUAGUGUCACUUUUAUGAAAGAUGAGGGACUUAUGACCUGUGGCCAUUAUAGCCAGCCACGAGGGGGCUCACUUCGACUGAUCUGUCAUGUUUGCUUGCAUAAAGGCCAGCAAGAGCCAAUCCCUACCCGCCCCUGACCAGGAAAGGUACUGUCGGUCAUGGCCGCUCUGUGAAGAUGUCAAACGAAUCGGCGUUAGCCGAGAACAUCGGCAGAGCCGUCCUGGCGGCUAUACAAAAUUUUUCAACAGCGACAGCAACAGCCUCUGGGACACCACAGAACACCUCAGCUCCCACCACCUACAGUAACACACUGGGGCCAGCCACACCCACCACCUCCACUGGGACAUCAUAUCGCUCGGGCUCCAGCACCAGCGCUAACAUAUUUUACCAGCAACAGACUUUGCUUCAGUGACCUGUCUUUCAAAUGACUACCAAGGAAGACAUCAGAUUUCCAAAGAGGAGCUCGAACAUGUUCUUUCUCUGAAAACCACCUUUACAGAAGCGGCAUCUAUUCUUUCAAUUUCAAGGCCAACUUUCUACAAGUUACUUCAAGACUAUAAUAUGCCAACGUCAAAAUUUAAGAGCAUCAGUGAUCAACAGUUGGAUAUUGAAUUGUCACAAAUAAAAACUGAACACCCAAAUGUUGGAGAAGUGAUGCUUAUGGGACAUCUCCGCUCCAAAAACAUUGUGGUUCAAAGACAACGAGUAAGAGAUUCACUCCGAAGGAUGGACCCAAUUGGUGUCCUAGCCAGGAGAAGAACAGCAAUAGCUAGGCGAGUAUACUCUGUCCCACAUCCAAAUUUCAUAUGGCAUGUAGACGGAAAUCAUAAGUUGAUUAGGUGGAAAUUGGUUGUUCAUGGUGCCAUAGAUGGCUACAGUAGGAUGUUAAUGUUUCUUCACUGCUCCAACAAUAAUCGUGCUGAAACUGUAAGAGAUCUCUUUACUGCAGCUGUUCGACAGUUUGGCAGACCACUGCACAUCAGGACUGAUCACGGAGGAGAGAACGUUCAGAUUUGGGAGGACAUGCAUGUGAGCAGGGGGAUGGCUCUGUCUUAACAGGAAGUUCUGUACACAACCAGAGGAUCGAGCGUUUUAAUCGAGACUUGAACAAAAACUGCAGCCAUAUUUAUGCACCCAUUUUUUAUGAACUGGAAUCCCUGGGUAUCCUAGACAUAGACAAUGCAACAGACCUAUUUUGUCUCCAUUAUGUCUUUCUACCCAGAAUCAACCGCACUUUGGAGGAAUUCAAAGCUGGAUUUAACAAUCACUCUAUGUCAUCUGAAGGAAAUAGAACACCAGUUCAGCUUUUUACUCUGGACAGUGAUUUGCCUCAUCUUCACAACCCAGAACUCUCAACAGCAGGGGUAGUUUUUUGUUCCUCAGCAAACUCUCAAAGUGUACUUUCCCCAUUGAAUGACAGGGAUUUGCAAGAACUGAAUGAUGCCAUUAACCCUCUUCAAAAUGACAACAACAAUGGCAAAACAUUGUUUCAGAGAACACAACAGUUUAUUUUUGAUAAACUUGUAAAUGUGUGAUCUCAGCAUAUAACAUGUACAAUUGUGUAACAUUAGUCUUAUUUCACUUUCAAAAGUACACUGUGAAACAAAUUUCAGGGCUCUACAGAUGUAUUGAUACAUAACUGUCUUCCACUACAUUGCAAUACAUUGUUCCUGAUUUUUAAAGUACCUAAAUGUGCAAAGUAAAACAACUCAGUGAAGUAAAACAA